rnacentral:rRNA from 1 species
ACGUAGGGAGCAAGCGUUAUCCGGAUUUAUUGGGUGUAAAGGGUGCGUAGGCGGGAAGGCAAGUUGAAUGUGAAAUACCGGGGCUCAACUCCGGGGCUGCGUUCAAAACUGUUUUUCUUGAGUACAGCAGAGGCAAGCGGAAUUCCCAGUGUAGCGGUAAUAUGCGUAGAUAUUGGGAAGAACACCAGUGGCGAAGGCGGCUCUCUGGCCUAGAACUGACGCUGAAGCGCGAAAGCGUGGGGAGCAAACAG